UGAAAAAUGAGAGUUGUCCCAUAUGUUUGUUAUAAAAACAUUAUGAAGAAUCUUAAUUGAGUGUUUUUGAAAAUAUAUAAUUUAGGUCGUUGGUAAGGUGUAUAAGAAUAAUAUUGAAUAGUCUGAAUUAGUUAUGUAGAGAUUACCUUUUAUGUUGUAUAUGAUUUAGUAUAUUAAAAAUAAAAUACAUUGCAUCACUUUUAUAAAAAAAUAAUAUUUGCUUACAAAAAUAACCCUACAAAUAUGAUGGAAAAGAUAUAUAAAAGGUUUUGAGGGAUAAUUAUUGUGUCUUUAACCAUGCUAAUACAUGCAUUAAAACUCCUUACACUACUAAUGUCAUGAAUUU
rnacentral:lncRNA from 1 species